UGUAAGUGUAAACUCGUAAACUGUUGAUUCUUGAACACCACUUAUUGGCUAUUCCAUUCAAAUGAGUCAGAAAUCUCUCACGGCUAAACACUGGAUUUUGUUGUGCACUCUCCACGAGUCCUCUCACUGUAACCAGAUGUAAACAAGAGGUUCAUUGGUUAUAAAGGAACUUUGUGAGAUUGGGAUGAACUGAAAGAUUUCCACAAUCCAAUGAAUUAUGAACACAUAAAAGAAGAAGGACAAGAAAAAACAACAUGCCAAAAUGAAUCCAUCAGCCUAAACUGCAUUCAAAAGCGCAGGAACUCACGAUCCUGAAGGGCGACGAGAGCCUCAGAUCUGUCGUGCUGCAUGCGGGGGUGAACGACAUCAGGCUGCGGCAGAUGGAGGUUCUAAAGCAGGACUUAAUCGUGUCUGGACCGCUUAUGAUGUACAGACGAGGAAAUGAAAGGUUCAUAAGAUUAUUUUCUCUAAAUUAAUGGCUAAUGUUAUGGUCUAAUGAACAGAAACUGCUCUUUGUUAAUAAUUGGAAACUUUUCUGUGAGUGACCUAGGCUCUAUCGUGCUGAUGGCCUGCACCCCAGAGAGCAGGAACAGAUCUUCUGUCGGACAACAUCUCGAAGAUGCUAUGCACUGUAUGACUAAAGAUAGAAAGUCAUGAUUCUGGCAAAAAAAGAGGACAACUACAAAGAUGCCAUUAAGCUUAUGACUCAAUAUCAGAAUGGCUGCAACACCUCUGAGCUACAGUCUGAGGCAGAGCAGGAGGGUAAGCUGCCAGAGAAAAGAUUCAGGAAGCCAAUCCAUCGUUUUGGGGACUCUGAUGAGAGUGAAGAAGAAGCCAGAAAAUGGUGACUUUGCAUCUCUGAGGAUGCCACGACCUUCCAAAUUGCCUGGUGCAUUUGAAGCCUCAUCCCCGAACCAAUUUCACUGGAAGACUCCAUCAUCUUGCAGAGUGCCAGGCAGCAGAGUAACUACUCCUCAACCUGGAGAAAACUGUCUAG